rnacentral:misc_RNA from 1 species
AAGUCGUAACAAGGUUUCCGUAGGUGAACCUGCGGAAGGAUCUCCCGUGAACCUUCAUCCUGCUCUUGUAACCCGCGGCAAUGUUUCCCCAAGCGGUCAGUGUCGGAAAGUGUCAUUGAUUGUGCAAGGAUAGCGCUUCUACGAUUCCUGUCGACCGUCCACUCGGGCAGGAGCUUUGCCAAAGGGUCCCCAUGCCCCCUAAUAACCCCACAGUUUAAUGUGAAGCUCAAUGUAUACAUUGGGUAAAAAAACCGAACAACUGUUAACAAUGGAUAUCUUGGUUCUC